rnacentral:rRNA from 1 species
CCUACGGGAGGCAGCAGUGAGGAAUAUUGGUCAAUGGGCGUAAGCCUGAACCAGCCAAGUCGCGUGAGGGAUGAAGGUUCUAUGGAUCGUAAACUUCUUUUAUAAAGGAAUAAAGUGAGGCACGUGUGCCUUUUUGUAUGUACUUUAUGAAUAAGGAUCGGCUAACUCCGUGCCAGCAGCCGCGGUAAUACGGAGGAUCCGAGCGUUAUCCGGAUUUAUUGGGUUUAAAGGGAGCGUAGAUGGGUUGUUAAGUCAGUUGUGAAAGUUUGCGGCUCAACCGUAAAAUUGCAAUUGAUACUGGCAGUCUUGAGUACAUUUGAGGCAGGCGGAAUUCGUGGUGUAGCGGUGAAAUGCUUAGAUAUCACGAAGAACUCCGAUUGCGAAGGCAGCUUACUAAGCUGCCACUGACAUUGAUGCUCGAAAGUGUGGGUAUCGAACAGGAUUAGAUACCCCAGUAGUC